AGAAUCAACGCUGGCGGCGUGCCUAACACAUGCAAGUCGCACGAGAAAGGGACUUCGGUCCUGAGUACAGUGGCGCACGGGUGAGUAACACGUGAAUUAUCUACCUCCGAGUGGGGAAUAACUGAGAGAAAUCUUAGCUAAUACCGCAUAACACUUACGAGUCAAAGCAGCAAUGCGCUUGGAGAGGAGUUCGCGGCAGAUUAGUUAGUUGGCGGGGUAAUGGCCCACCAAGACGAUGAUCUGUAUCCGGCCUGAGAGGGCGCACGGACACACUGGAACUGAAACACGGUCCAGACUCCUACGGGAGGCAGCAGUGGGGAAUUUUUGCGCAAUGGGGGAAACCCUGACGCAGCAACGCCGCGUGGAGGAUGAAAUAUCUUGGUAUGUAAACUCCUUUCGAUGGGGAAGAUAAUGACGGUACCCAUAGAAGAAGCCCCGGCUAACUUCGCGCCAGCAGCCGCGGUAA
rnacentral:rRNA from 1 species